AUUGAUUUUAUGCUUGCAUAAAUGAUCUUUGGAUUCGGAGCGAGUGGCGAACUGGUGAGUAACACGUGGGUAACCUGCCCCGAAGCGGGGGAUAACAUUUGGAAACAAGUGCUAAUACCGCAUAAUUAGUUGGAACCGCAUGGUUCCAACUUGAAAGAUGGCUCUGCUAUCACUUUGGGAUGGACCCGCGCCGUAUUAGUUAGUUGGUGAGAUAAAAGCCCACCAAGACGAUGAUACGUAGCCGACCUGAGAGGGUAAUCGGCCACAUUGGGACUGAGACACGGCCCAGACUCCUACGGGAGGCAGCAGUAGGGAAUCUUCCACAAUGGACGAAAGUCUGAUGGAGCAACGCCGCGUGAGUGAUGAAGGUUUUCGGAUCGUAAAACUCUGUUGUUAAAGAAGAACAAGUGUUAGAGUAACUGUUAACACUUUGACGGUAUUUAACCAGAAAGCCACGGCUAACUACGUGCCAGCAGCCGCGGUAAUACGUAGGUGGCAAGCGUUGUCCGGAUUUAUUGGGCGUAAAGCGAGCGCAGGCGGUUUUGUAAGUCUGCUGUGAAAGCCCUCAGCUCAACUGAGGAAGUGCAGUGGAAACUACAAAACUUGAGUACAGAAGAGGAAAGUGGAACUCCAUGUGUAGCGGUGAAAUGCGUAGAUAUAUGGAAGAACACCAGUGGCGAAGGCGGCUUUCUGGUCUGUUACUGACGCUGAGGCUCGAAAGCAUGGGUAGCGAACAGGAUUAGAUACCCUGGUAGUCCAUGCCGUAAACGAUGAAUACUAGGUGUUGGAGGGUUUCCGCCCUUCAGUGCCGCAGCUAACGCAUUAAGUAUUCCGCCGGGGGAGUACGACCGCAAGGUUGAAACUCAAAGGAAUUGACGGGGGCCCGCACAAGUGGUGGAGCAUGUGGUUUAAUUCGAUGCUACGCGAAGAACCUUACCAGCUCUUGACAUCUUCUGCCAACCCAAGAGAUUGGGCGUUCCCUUCGGGGACAGAAUGACAGGUGGUGCAUGGUUGUCGUCAGCUCGUGUCGUGAGAUGUUGGGUUAAGUCCCGCAACGAGCGCAACCCUUAUUAUUAGUUGCCAGCAUUUAGUUGGGCACUCUAGUGAGACUGCCGGUGAUAAA
rnacentral:rRNA from 1 species